AGGAUUAUAGUUUAAAAGUAAAACAUUUAAUUUGCAAUUAAAAAAAAUUAAUUAAUAAUUAAUCUUA
rnacentral:tRNA from 1 species